rnacentral:rRNA from 1 species
GACGGAGGGUGCAAGCGUUGCUCGGAAUCAUUGGGCGUAAAGGGUGCGUAGGCGGCUUUUUAAGUCUGACGUGAAAGCCCAGGGCUUAGCCUUGGAAGUGCGCCAGAAACUGGAUGGCUUGAGUUUGGGAGAGGGAUGCGGAAUUCCAGGUGUAGCGGUGAAAUGCGUAGAUAUCUGGAGGAACACCGGUGGCGAAGGCGGCAUCCUGGACCAACACUGACGCUGAGUGAGCGAAAGCCAGGGGAGCAAACGGG